UAUUAAAUUAAUUCAAAAACACAUAUAGUUGAAGAGUGUGUAGCAUAAAUAAACAACGUGCGUGCUUAUGGAUAUGAAUUUGGUCGUGCUGUGAUGCUUGCGCUCAUCUCUAGAUUGAAGCUUUAAUUAUAGAAAACAAAAUAACACAGCAUCGAUAUUUGGAUAAGACUUCAGAAGACAAAAUUAAAUAAAAAAAAAGUAAUACACACAAAUCGUCGCUAAUUCCUUCGUUCGCCAAUGUUAAUGCAAAAAUUCAUGUGACUGUGAUCAAGUCGGCGAACGAUAGCGGACUUUAGACCGAGCAGUGCCGGCAUGCAGCAAAUUUAAAUAAAAUUAAGUUUUCCUAGUUACAAAUCUUUCGUGAAACCAAAUUAGCCUCGCACUGCUGCCCGCAACAGGUUCACAGAGACCGACUCUCUCGCACUCACUGCCGUUACCGCUACCUGCUCCGCCGCCACGACAACGAUAUUUUUCGGCUUGUUUAUAAGUUUUGCUCAUCAGUCCCACAAAUUCGUCUACUAUGGCAGUUGUUGAAAAUGUUCAGAAUACGCCCACAGAGCGCAAGGCGAAUCCGCUUAAAUCUUUUAUCACUGGAGGUUUUGGCGGCAUUUGCAAUGUUCUCUCCGGGCAUCCUCUUGACACUAUUAAGGUUCGUUUACAGACAAUGCCACGGCCAGCACCUGGGGAGCAGCCCUUGUAUCGCGGCACCUUCGAUUGCGCAGCCAAGACCAUACGGAAUGAAGGCGUUCGCGGUCUGUACAAGGGUAUGUCCGCACCACUGACGGGGGUGGCGCCCAUAUUCGCCAUGUGCUUUGCCGGCUAUGCACUGGGAAAGAGGCUGCAACAGCGCGGUGAGGAAGCUAAGCUCACGUAUCCGCAAAUCUUUGUUGCCGGCUCGUUCUCCGGCCUGUUCUCCACGUUCAUCAUGGCGCCCGGCGAGCGCAUCAAGGUGCUCCUGCAAACACAGGGCAUUGGCCCUGGCGGCGAAAAAAAAUACACUGGAAUGAUCGAUUGCGCUGUCAAGCUAUAUAAGGAGGGUGGUCUGCGUAGUGUUUUCAAAGGCAGCUGUGCAACGAUGCUCAGGGAUAUGCCUGCCAACGGUCUCUACUUUCUGAGCUAUGAGAUCUUAACGGAUCAGUACAAACGUCGAUUUGACCGGCCCAAUGUGGAUUUAAUGCCGGCUAUACUUGCAGGAGGACUGGCGGGAAUAUUUUAUUGGAUCGGCGGUAUGCCCGCUGAUGUGCUCAAAAACCGGCUGCAAUCCGCUCCUGAAGGCAAAUUUAAUGGUAUAAGAGAUGUUUUUAAAGAUCUAUUAAAAAAUGAUGGACUUUCGGCACUCUAUCGUCUAUUUUUUUGCAGUGAUAGCGGCUGAACGAGGCGGUACUCGUAAAAGUUAGAUUGCGUAUACCCUUACUGCAAGGCGCAGGACAUUGUAAGCAAGGCUCUGCAAGGUUGAACACCAAAUGCAAGAAUGUCACAACUUCCCUCCGAUGAUGGAGCUGCAGCUGCCACAAUCUUAUCACUAAGGAAUUCGUUGCUACUUAGGCUAUCUUACGAUCGUGAUUAUCAAAAUUAAACAGCUUUCGCUUCAUAUUCGCAUGCUUGGAUAUAGUAUAGGGCGACAAAAGCAUGGGGAGAACAUUGAGACCCUUCAGCUCUGGCAGCCGAAUGUUAAGCAAGUUUUGCUUUGGCUGCUCCGACUGAUUGCUCCAUACGGGAUCGAUCCAGAAAGGCAAUUUCUAAUGCACUUACCUCCGAUGGCGGCGUAUCGGGCUUGGGUGGAUCAUAACAAGAACGUAUCGGCGCCACAUUGCAACUGACCAAA